rnacentral:rRNA from 1 species
UACGGAGGGUGCAAGCAUUAAUCGGAUUUAUUGGGCGUAAAGGGCGCGUAGGCGGAUUGGUAAGUCAUAUGUGAAAUUCCAAGGCUCAACCUUGGAGCUGUAUGUGAAACUACCAAUCUAAGAGGUUAGGUGGAGAAAAUGGAAUUCCACGUGUAGCGGUGAAAUGCGUAGAUAUGUGGAAGAACACCGGUGGCGAAGGCGGUUUUCUAACCUAAACCUGACGCUGAGGCGCGAAAGCGAGGGGA